rnacentral:rRNA from 1 species
GAUGAACGCUAGCGACAGGCCUAACACACGCAAGUCGAGGGGUAGCAGGAUGUAGCAAUACAUCGCUGACGACCGGCGCACGGGUGAGUAACGCGUAUGCAACCUACCUUCUACAGGGGGAUAGCCCGGAGAAAUCCGGAUUAAUACCCCAUAAAACAGGGACUCCGCAUGGAGAUAUUUGUUAAAGAUUAAUCGGUAGAAGAUGGGCAUGCGUUCCAUUAGCCAGUUGGUGAGGUAACGGCUCACCAAAGCAACGAUGGAUAGGGGAACUGAGAGGUUUAUCCCCCACACUGGAACUGAGACACGGACCAGACUCCUACGGGAGGCAGCAGUGAGGAAUAUUGGUCAAUGGGCGCGAGCCUGAACCAGCCAAGUCGCGUGAAGGAAGACUGCCUUAUGGGUUGUAAACUUCUUUUAUAUGAGAAUAAAAAGAGUUACGUGUAACUUAUUGCAGGUAUCAUAUGAAUAAGCAUCGGCUAACUCCGUGCCAGCAGCCGCGGUAA